rnacentral:rRNA from 1 species
CAGUCGCCACGGUAAUACGAAGGGUGCAAGCGUUACUCGGAAUUACUGGGCGUAAAGCGUGCGUAGGUGGUGGUUUAAGUCCGUUGUGAAAGCCCUGGGCUCAACCUGGGAAUUGCAGUGGAUACUGGGUCACUAGAGUGUGGUAGAGGAUAGUGGAAUUUCCGGUGUAGCAGUGAAAUGCGUAGAGAUCGGAAGGAACAUCUGUGGCGAAGGCGGCCAUCUGGGACAACACUGACGCUGAGGCACGAAAGCGUGGGGAGCAAACAGGAUUAGAUACCCCAGUAGUCCCUGUCUCUUAUAC